CCAGCUCUGGGGAGAUAACAAGGAACAUUUCUUAAUAUUUCAGCUGGAGUCCCCUCAGCUCUGACAGCCCCCUUUGUUCUUGUUGUUAAGGACAUCACGUGUGAUGAGUUCUUAGAAUGACAACCUCAAACAAAAGAAGGCCGUGUCAUUCUUUCCACCUCUGGCUUGUGGCAACCCAGGAUUUCCCAGAAUACAGCAAUAUUUAUAUCUGAGCAAGAGAAGCUGCUGUGCCUGUUGGUGAGAAUUCAGAUGCAACAGUUCUGUCUCUUGCCCAGCAAUCAGAAUGGCAUGAAAAGGUGCUGUCAGGGAGGGCACUGCCCUGUACCCAAGGAGGAAUUAAAGCAACACGAGCUCCAAGAAGGAGCAGGGCAGCUGUAGCUCUCUUUUUCUUGCAGUAGCCAAGUUUGAAACUUGUCCUCUAAGGCACACACAGAGCAUCUGUGGGUUAGUAAAACACCAGCAAGUUAGUUCGUGUAAAACUGGUGGUGAAGUUACAAAUGAUGAGCUCUCAGCUUACCAUCGUCGUCUUGGUCCCCAGUGAGCGGCGAGAAAAGAAAAAAAAGGACAGGAAAAACAAGAUUAAUCUCUGCCCCCACAAAAGAAAGCACUUUCCACCCAGGCAAGGCUGAGAGCCAGGCAGCCACCUACGUGUUCCCAGUUGCACUCCCCAGGCUGAGCUGGUGUCACUGCAGAGUGUUUUUAUUUGUGAGCCAGACAAAUUCAUGGUGAUGAUGAAAACAUCAGUCAUUUGAGAACUGCAGCUACCACCAAACCAGAGCUAUUCUCUUUCAAGAGUGACACAGAGGAGAGGGAAGAAGAAAGGAUAUAUUUCCCUUAGGAAUAACAACAAUCAUUUUAUUACAAAAAAAACCCAAACAAAAUCCAACAAACCCUGAACUAAUCAUUGAAGACCAGUCAACUUCUGCACCUUAGAGGUUCCAGCCCUUCUUCUAAACACUUCAGGGGUAAUUAGAACUGAUCCAGGGCUGCACUCUGCCUCUAAUGCCAACAUACAACCAGGGAUUCUGGAAGAAUAAUUGGUGUUAACGAAGUGACUCAGUCUGACCAUUCAGGAGAUUCCCUGGCAGCCACAUUCCCGAGGCCAGAGAGGUUCACUGCUGGGACCAUCCCUGGCUGUUCUCUCCUUCUUCAAGCCCUUUGUCAACCAAAGGUGUGGCAAUUCACAGCCUCUUGUCCUGGGCUCCCGCCCAGAGCUCAGCCUCCACUUCAGCCUGCACCCCAACCUGCUGCUUGCAAACCUCCCUGCACCAGGGUUUUAGCUUUAUUCAUAUCCCUUGCACUAAAUAAAUGCAUUAAACCCAGGAGAACAGUAGGAAGAUCCGGCUCUUGCACUGGGGUUUCAUUGUGCAAUCAGAAUAUCCGGCGUCCUUCCAAAGCUUUUUCAUCACUCCAGAAAGAUCUUCUAUACAAAGAAGCUGAGCACACAACUUGCACACACCCAUCAGCCACAGGGACUGGGGAAUUUCCUUGUCCCUUCAGUAAAGCACUUUUAAGUACGUA